rnacentral:hammerhead_ribozyme from 1 species
AUCUAGCUGAUGAGUCCUAUAUAGGAUGAAACACGUUUUAUCCUGGAU